CCUACGGGGGGCUGCAGUGGGGAAUCUUCCGCAAUGGGCGAAAGCCUGACGCAGCAACGCCGCGUGGGUGAAGAAGGCCUUCGGGUCGUAAAGCUCUGUUUUUAGGGACGAACAAGUAGAUAACUGCUUGACGGUACCUAACGAGGAAGCCACGGCUAACUACGUGCCAGCAGCCGCGGUAAUACGUAGGUGGCAAGCGUUGUCCGGAAUUACUGGGCGUAAAGCGCGCGCAGGCGGUCUCUUAAGUCUGAUGUGAAAGCCCCCGGCUCAACCGGGGAGGGUCAUUGGAAACUGGGAGACUUGAGUGCAGGAGAGGAGAGCGGAAUUCCCGGUGUAGCGGUGAAAUGCGUAGAUAUUGGGAGGAACACCAGUGGCGAAGGCGGCUUUCUGGACUGUAACUGACGCUGAGGCGCGAAAGCGUGGGGAGCAAACAGGAUUAGAUACCCUUGUAGUC
rnacentral:rRNA from 1 species